UGAUGACGUAGUAACCAACCAGCGGGUUUUUUUCCGGCUCUGCACGGAUGUAGUUCAAAAAAUAUAUAUUAAAAAAAUUACACUCAACACGCAACAAAAGCGAGCUGUGCCGCAAGAAGGUAAACGAGUGGUGUAGAAAGGCGUUUUUUUUGCGGUGGCGGUGCGUUGACUGGGCGGUGCGCACAAGAUCCGAGAGCGUGUGACUCUCGGGCAAAACGAGACUAGCUGGCGUUCUGCUAACCAAGAGGCAGUCUCCACCAUUUUUGAAUCACAGUGCAUACUAAAGAGUGCAUUAGGUUUCACAUGCUCUAUGGCUCAUCUUAGUCGCUACUGACAUUCAUCAAACAAGACCACUUCUAUCCAUCUGAAGCAUUUUUGCCUUGAGCCUGAGAGGGGGCAAAAUCAGGACAACAUUUGGAAUGAGCAAACUGAGUGAUGUUCACUGAAAUGCACGGAGCAGCUGGGAGCUACCCUGAAGGUCUAGUACAGUGAAACACUUGACUGGCUGGAAGCAAUAUUAAA
ensembl:lncRNA